rnacentral:rRNA from 1 species
AUUGAACGCUGGCGGCAUGCCUUACACAUGCAAGUCGAACGGUAACGCGGGGCAACCUGGCGACGAGUGGCGAACGGGUGAGUAAUGCAUCGGAACGUGCCCGGUAGUGGGGGAUAACUGCUCGAAAGAGCAGCUAAUACCGCAUACGGCCUGAGGGUGAAAGGGGGGGAUCGCAAGACCUCUCGCUAUCGGAGCGGCCGAUGUCGGAUUAGCUAGUUGGUGGGGUAAAGGCCCACCAAGGCAACGAUCCGUAGCUGGUCUGAGAGGACGACCAGCCACACGGGGACUGAGACACGGCCCAGACUCCUACGGGAGGCAGCAGUGGGGAAUUUUGGACAAUGGACGCAAGUCUGAUCCAGCCAUGCCGCGUGCGGGAAGAAGGCCUUCGGGUUGUAAACCGCUUUUGUCAGGGAAGAAAUCUUCUGGGUUAAUACCUCGGGAGGAUGACGGUACCUGAAGAAUAAGCACCGGCUACUACGUGCCAGCCGCCGCAGUAA